rnacentral:rRNA from 1 species
AAUGAACGUUGGCGGCGUGGAUUAGGCAUGCAAGUCGAGCGAGAAUUUGCGAUUGGAAGCUUCGGCCGAAGAAAGUGAAGGAAGCGGCAAACGGCGUAGUAAGGCGUAGGUACGUACCCUCGGGUCGGGAAUAGCCAUGGGAAACUGUGGGUAAUGCCCGAUAAUCUCUGCGGAGCAAAGGUGUGAUUCCGCCGGAGGAGCGGCUUACGUGAUAUUAGCUAGUUGGUGGGGUAAUGGCCUACCAAGGCAACGAUGUCUAGGGGGUGUGAGAGCAUGGCCCCCCACGACCGGAACUGAGACACUGUCCGGACACCUACGGGUGGCUGCAGUCGAGAAUCUUCCGCAAUGGGCGAAAGCCUGACGGAGCGACGCCGCGUGGUGGAUGAAGGCCCUUGGGUUGUAAACACCUGUCAGAGGGGAUGAAAUCAUGGUUGGCAAUCCUUCCAUGUUGACAGAGCCUCAGAGGAAGCACGGGGCUAAGUACGUGCCAGCAGCCGCGGUAA